AUUACCUAAGAUAACUGCUAAGUACCUACGUAUAAGCCGUCAAAGAGAAGUUCAAUAAAAAAAAACCCUCACAAAGCUGUGUAACUAAGCAAUCGGUAAGCAAAAAAGGUAGGUCGCAAUCCAACACACAUACAUAGGAGGAGGGCUUAAGGAUUCGACCAAGUGUACAUGUCUCUGGUCAGUAGAUCUUUUUAGGGUACUUGCAGCAGUGUUGAUUCCCCCUUUCAACAGUCAACUCAAUAUCACUGAAUUCGCUGAUGAAUCUAGUGUUAACAAUGCAUUUGCAUGAUAUGGAGAACUAAAGUAUUUCUUCGGAACAUACCAGAUUCAGUGAAUCACAAGGAAGAAAACUAGCUAGUUCUAAAAUAACUCAAAAGCUACAAGACAUUUGGCACUACCAGGGAUCUUUCUGGCGAUAGAAGUGGAUACAACUUUUGGUUGACGUGUGACUCUUCGUGAGUUGCUCCUACUAGGAGGACCAUCACUGACUAUUUGACUAUGCUUAUCUUUGACAAUCACCAAUUCUGUGAGAAUUUAACAUACAAAGCUUUCAUGUAAACCUCCAUAAUGUAGGAAAAAGCUUGUGGUACACUUUACACAGUUGUCCAAUGCCUAUAGAAUAUCUGUUCGGCUCAAUACCCCUUUUACCUCCAUCCAGACUCAAGCCUAUGUUUGCAGAUUUUAAUGCUUAAAUCCAGAAUAGAGCAUGCUCCUCUACGUGGGUGAUAUUAAAUAUAGACUGUAGACAUGCAUUUUUACAUGUUUAGAAUUCAGGGAAAAGUGUCGGACCUUUAAUUUUCUUGGCAAUAAAAAGAUAGUGCUUCUUAUUUCCAUACACCAAAAUCCAAUUCCAAAGAUUCCAAACGUUUAUGUAUCAUCAAAUUUGAAAAGGACAAGCAGACGAGAUGUUAAAGUUCAUUCAUAUACUGAAAGCUCUGCAACAUUCUAACCAAUCCCUAUUGGGACAUUAUUAUGAAUACCAACUCAUUGAAAGUUUAUCAUUUUCUCUAAAUAUCUCCAGCACCACAUUAGCAAAAUCCACUACCACACCAUAGUAAAUUUCUGCUUCCCUGAAGAGGUUAUAUCUGGAGAAUGCUCAAGCUAGCUUCCCAAGCAAGACACGUACCUUAUCAAGCAUAUUGACUUAUACCCUUCUUGGCAGUCUCCAUAUAUCCGAAUCAUCAGAGAUGGAAGCUCCAAGAUUCUACUAUCUAGCUUUGAUAUUCGUGGGGUUUAUGGUAU